rnacentral:misc_RNA from 1 species
CACAGACAAAGCAAAAGCAAACAACUAGCUCCUGCAGCUCUGAGCCCUUCACAAUAAAAGCACAUUAUGUAAUCUUUCCACUGACGUGCACAAUAGGAAAGAGAAGCCCAUUAGCUAGAUUAAGAGAUUAGUUAGAUCUCCACUCAAGAGUAAUGCCUAUACAUUCCCCCUAGGUAAAUCAAAAACCUAUAAUAUUAGGUGAAAUAACAGGAACCAGCAGCGGGGAUUACUACGUAUCCAUGUGAGAUAUGGGGUGGUUCGUUCUUCACCAUAGUGCACAAAACAAGAUUCCAGUCAUCAAAGCUGAAGCAGAGGCAGGGCCAUUACAACACCAAAAAUUGAAACUAGCAACAGCAACAACCAAGUUGGAACGGAUUUCCUCUGUUGGUUUUUGACGUCUUUUAGAGGCUUCACUCUGUUCACUUCGUCCUUUGGGGAAUUGUCAUGCUCUUCCAACAAGGGUCUAGACUUAUCUGCUCCAGCUGGCAUAGAUGAUACCUGCUCUGGAACUGGCUGCGACGAGAGCUGCUGCUGUUCAUACUUCUCCACAUACUCGGGAAACAAUUUCCUAAAGGUUGGGUUUUUACAGUUAAAAGCCAAGGAUGCCUUCGCAAGCUUCUCCUUCUCAGCAACGGUUGUUGAGACACUGCCUGUGGUAGGACUAUUGUCCAUCAUAAAUGAGAGCAGCCCUGUUAGUAUGCUUGACACGGACCACAUUGGAUUCCAGCUCUCUGGAUGGAAGUCACUCAUAGAUAAGCAGAUUUUCUUUUGCGUCAUGAAUCUUCCGUUUGGAGUAGUCAUACUGAUCCCUGGAGGUUUAAAUGGAUAUUCUGGAGGAAACUUGAUCUUCCCAUAAUAAAAUCCACCUGCAAAUGGUGUUCCUUCACUCCCCUCCAAAACAUAAUGCCACUCAAGGAUAUCAUUCGGAGAAGGGCGGGCCACAACAUGGGAAACAGGUUCUUUACAAAGUGCUCUAUAUUCCUUCUGAAGGCGCUUUACACAUGCUUUUUCUGCCAUGUCUUAGCUUCAAAAUAUAUUGAAACUAAGAGAGAAUCCUGCAAAGCUUUCCUUAUCCUCUUGACCACCAGAAAUACAACAACCGAAGAUCUCGAAGAAAUUGGAAAUUGAAUUGGGCGAAUUGAGGUUUUCCAGAAUCUGAUGAAGAUCUACUUCAAACGGCUGCGAGUUGAGGAACAAAAAUAAUUGAAGAGAAGCUUUUCUUGGUUUUCGGCUUGCAGAUGAUGGACACUGACCCCAAGAAAAGCCUCUCAGA